UACAGAGGUCCCAAGCGUUGUUCGGAUUCAUUGGGCGUAAAGGGCGCGUAGACGGCCUUCUAAGUCAGACGUGAAAUCCCCAGGCUUAACUUGGGAACUGCGUCUGAUACUGGGAGGCUUGAGUGCGGGAGAGGGAUGUGGAAUUCCAGGUGUAGCGGUGAAAUGCGUAGAUAUCUGGAGGAACACCGGUGGCGAAGGCGGCAUCCUGGACCGACACUGACGCUGAGGCGCGAAAGCUAGGGGAGCAAACGGG
rnacentral:rRNA from 1 species